rnacentral:misc_RNA from 1 species
UUGCUGCGAAAUCCUUGCUUGCUUUGAUUUGAGGGGAUAGAUUCAGUCUUUAUCCUUCCUUUUUACAGUCACUAUGUGAAUUCCUUUCACUAGCAUCGUAGAUUCCGGUUAUCCCGCUAAAGACCUUCUUCUGAACGGGACUACCACGGGCGAAAGGAAGCUGCGAAAAAAUGAUUUUGAUGCUUUUGGCUGUGAUGUGGCUGUGUGCCUUUCUUAUACGA